UAGAGGAAGUAAAAGUCGUAACAAGGUCUCCGUUGGUGAACCAGCGGAGGGAUCAUUACCGAGUUUACAACUCCCAAACCCCUGUGAACAUACCACUUGUUGCCUCGGCGGAUCAGCCCGCUCCCGGUAAAACGGGACGGCCCGCCAGAGGACCCCUAAACUCUGUUUCUAUAUGUAACUUCUGAGUAAAACCAUAAAUAAAUCAAAACUUUCAACAACGGAUCUCUUGGUUCUGGCAUCGAUGAAGAACGCAGCAAAAUGCGAUAAGUAAUGUGAAUUGCAGAAUUCAGUGAAUCAUCGAAUCUUUGAACGCACAUUGCGCCCGCCAGUAUUCUGGCGGGCAUGCCUGUUCGAGCGUCAUUUCAACCCUCAAGCACAGCUUGGUGUUGGGACUCGCGUUAAUUCGCGUUCCUCAAAUUGAUUGGCGGUCACGUCGAGCUUCCAUAGCGUAGUAGUAAAACCCUCGUUACUGGUAAUCGUCGCGGCCACGCCGUUAAACCCCAACUUCUGAAUGUUGACCUCGGAUCAGGUAGGAAUACCCGCUGAACUUAAGCAUAUCAAUA
rnacentral:rRNA from 1 species